GCUCUUAUAGCUCAAUGGUAAAGCAUUACUUUUGUAAAUUGAAGGUUUGUAGUUCAAUCUUGCAUGGGGGCA
rnacentral:tRNA from 1 species